rnacentral:lncRNA from 1 species
AUGUUUUGCCACCCAUAUUAAUGUUUUGUAGUAUAAACCUCACAGUGAGUAGGAGGAGUAUUUCAGAAGUCAUGGUUGUUUUAAAAAAUGUCAUUUAUUUCUUUGUAAAGACAACUUAUGGUGAUCUUCCAAAUUUGCAAAAUUAGCUAAUUAAGCAAAUCUCACUACAUAUGUUAGGUGAAAAUGUAAAAUGAAUGGAGUGAAAGUGGAAAGACUAAAGAUCCCUAAUUCUCCCCUGAGCCUGUGUCUCUUCCCAGUGCACAAUGAGGCCUACUGUUUCACCUGUUCAAUUUUUCUAACUUUUUUUUUUUUUACUUCUUCAAUCUUUUCUAUGAUAACCUUACCUUAUACUUACUUAUCUGCAUAUGAAAUACUUCCUUUACUGAGUUGUUUCCAUUUUGUGUCCUUUACUGUUCAUCUUCUUGCUUUUCUGCUAUCUAACCCUGCAGCAGUCCCAAACCUUCACAGAAAGGCUGCUGACAAGAAGGCAGCUGCAGAGAGUCACAUGAGCUUUCUCAGUUGGCCACUGCACCUGGCUCCCUGCACAAAAUGAUUGGGCUUGACCACUGCUCUGUGGCACUUUGCUUUCUAUAGCCUUGUCAAGGUGCUUUCCGUUUUUUUCAGUGCACUAUUGAUGUAUCGGUUAGAUAUGGCAGAGGUCCAGGAAGAUGUGGUGAAAGCCAUCACAAGUGGCAAAACUGAUGAGCCACAGCUAAAGGGCAAAAAAGUAGAUUUUAAAAAAUGUCCAAGCUUCUUUAGUAACUCAGGAUAUUAAAGCAUUUAAUUUUCUAUCUCAGAAUAAGGAUCUUAGUUAUAUGAUUUUAAACAUUACUAAUAUCAUUGAGGUAUAUUUACGCAAAUCUACUUUGUUGUAAGAAACUGAUCUUCAUUAAAUGUCUAUGCUAUGAAAAAACUAUAAGUUAUAAAUUUAUUUUGAUACCUGUCUCUUUCUAAAGAUAUGCUAGAAGGAGAAUCCUAGGUAAUUUAGUCACUUUUAACAACUAAAAAUUGCCAGCUUUGUCUUACACGUUUUUGUUGCUGUUGUUGUUGUUGAAAAAUAAGAUAUUUAUCCAUCAUGCAUGGCAAACUAUUAAAUAUAAAUUUAUAAAUAAAAUAGCUAAAAUGAUCAGUAUUUUAAAGAUAAUAGGCAAAGCAUAUCAUGUAUUAUGUUAAACCAUUGGACGAUAACAGCAUCUGCCAGAGAAAUCUUAAUUUUCAUGAACUAGAGAUCUUUUCUUAAUUUCAGUAACAUUUCAGAUGUUGGCAAAUAAAGAUUUGACUUAUAAAUAAAGGGAAUUCACUUCAGUUGUUUACAAAUAUUUGUUCAAGCUUCUGACGAAUCUAUGAGAUAUAUUCUGAUAACGUAAGGAGACUUAUAAUUGGAAAAUAUAUAGAAGUCAAUAUACUGAAAGAAAGUGAACAACGCUGUAGGCAUUUUGAGCGGUGAUAAGAUGAAAUAGAAUUUUGAUGUGCAUUUUUUUAUUUACUAAUGUUAAUUGUAAUGAUAAAUAUCUGGCCCUGGCCUAUUCUUAUAACUAUAGUUAAUAUCUCUGAAAUACUUUGAGAUACUUAGAAAGAUGGCUAGAAAUUUUCUCAAAAAAUGAAUUUUGUUUUCUUUAAAUUUGUUUUGUCACACAUACUGAAGGUUGAUUAGAAGCAGUAUCGUUUUGAAAGGAGCACAUAUUAAAUACACUUCUAAUUCCCUGAAGCAGGACCACCUACUGCUACUGAGUAAAAUAUAAAUAUGUGUGUCUUAAAAUGUACCUGAGUCUAUCUUUUUAAAACAGGCAGUCCCUCAUAUCAGCUGUCAUUGCAAAAUAGCUUAUUCCUGAGGCCUGGAAAGAAAUGAUUGGAAAUAACGAUUGCAAGUGAAAUUACAUAUUUUAAGACAUUUAGUGUUUGUCCUCAAUAGUAUUUGAAUACUGAAUAAUAAACAAAUGCCAAGUAGUAUUAUAAAAACGUGUCCUGUGUUUUUCUUGUCUGUACACAUAAAAUAGGUUUAUUCGUAAAUGCAUUCAUUCCACAGAGAAAAUAGUAAGUUAAACUUACUAAAUUUUGGGCCUUCGAUCUGAGUCCUGAGAACUAGUAAGAACAAUGUCGAUGCUUCUGAUUUACAUCACAGGUCCUGGAAUCGGCUCUCUGUGAAAUGGUCACGUUUUGACAAAAAGUUAAAUGCAUUUCUAUGUAUUUGGUAAUUAAAGUUACAGGGUCAAUGUGACUAAUGAUAAAUGAUAAGAGAACGCUGUUAGUCAUCUAACAGCUCCCCUGUGUGAGGACCCUUAAUGGGAUACAUUCAUUUCAUUCGCAAACUAUUUAUCUAAAUGACAAAUGAAAAUGUCCAUUUUCUAUUAAUUUCUCUGUUGCUUAUUUGAAGUUUAUUGAUUAUUAUGUGGUUUUCAUUUUCAUUUCUAUGUCUGAUUUUUUUUUCCUCACGAGAAAUAGAUCCACUCAUUUUACUGAUAAAACUGGUGAAAUACUCAGGCCUUAUUCGAGAGACCUCACUUCCAUUCCAGCUAUGUAUAAGGAUAUAUAAUAUUGCCCAAAACAUCCUACACCACUGCUUCAUACAUUUAUUUAAAACAUUGCCUAACAAUUUUCUCACUUACUAAGUGAAAACUUAUUCAAUGUUCCUUAAUUUAUUGAAAUCUUUCAAUAUUCCUUAAUUUUUGUCAAGAACAUGAGUGGUGUACAUUUUAUACAUUCUCAGUUCAUACAAAUUUUUAUAUAUUCUGAGGAAAUUUUAACCAGCCUGUAGUAAUUAGCAGAUUACUCGUAGAUUACUACUAGUUUUUUUCUACUACUAAUUAGUAGGAAAAAAAAUCACCUAUUUGCAAGAUAAAGAAAUAUAUACAACUCAAUAUACAAUUAUAUAUAAAAGUAAUUUUUGCCAAAUGCUUUCUUGUAUCAUUGAGAAAUAUUACUGACAUUAGUUUGUUACUAAGGUAACAAUAACUUGAAUUACAAUGAAUACUUGGACAUGAAUACAUAAAAUAUGAUAAAUGAUUAAAGAACAUUGUUAUUCAUCUAACAGCUCCCCCAAGUGAGGACCCUUAAUGGGAUACAUUUUUUCUUUCAUUCGCAAACUAUUUAUCUAAAUGAAAAGUGAAAAAGUCUAUUUUCAUACGUUUGAAUGUAUUUGCCCAUUUAAAAUUAUAUGUACCAGUUAUAUUCAGAAAAUGUUAUUAAUUGGAAAAUGUUACAUUAGUACCUAUCUUUCCAUGAUUGAAUAUAACAAUUGAAAUUAACUUUUUGAACUUAAAGAUCUAUCAAUUAUUCAAUUUAUCUUGAACUUUUAUUUUCUCUUGUAUGUUACAACUGAAUACAGUUUCCCCCUCUCUCCACUUCUCCUAAUCCUUCACACCAUCUCCCUUCUCCACAGUUCUAGCUCUGUU